UACGAACUGUGCAAACGUUAUUCGGAAUCACUGGGCUUAAAGGGUGCGUAGGCGGCUAUUUAAGUAGGGUGUGAAAUCCCCCGGCUCAACCGGGGAACUGCGCUCUAAACUGGAUGGCUGGAGUGAGAUAGGGGUGUGUGGAACUUCCGGUGGAGCGGUGAAAUGUGUUGAUAUCGGAAGGAACGCCGGUGGCGAAAGCGACACACUGGGUCUCAACUGACGCUGAGGCACGAAAGCCAGGGGAGCGAACGGG
rnacentral:rRNA from 1 species